rnacentral:rRNA from 1 species
CGGAGGAUUCGAGCGUUAUCCGGAUUUAUUGGGUUUAAAGGGAGCGUAGGCGGGUUGUUAAGUCAGUUGUGAAAGUUUGCGGCUCAACCGUAAAUUGCAGUUGAUACUGGCGACCUUGAGUGCAACAGAGGUAGGCGGAAUUCGUGGUGUAGCGGUGAAAUGCUUAGAUAUCACGAAGAACUCCGAUUGCGAAGGCAGCUUACUGGAUUGUAACUGACGCUGAUGCUCGAAAGUGUGGGUAUCAAACAGGAUU